rnacentral:rRNA from 1 species
CGGCGAAGUGAAGCGGCAAUUAGCUUCAAAUUUUUGAAAUUCUCGGCGCUUGCGUCCGAAGUUGUAAUUUGUAGAGGAUGAUUUUGGUUAGGUACCUUUCGAGUUCCUUGGAACAGGACGCCUUAGAGGGUGAGAGCCCCGUACGAUUGGAUGCCGAGCCUCUGUAAAUCUCCUUCGACGAGUCGAGUAGUUUGGGAAUGCUGCUCUAAAUGGGAGGUAAAUUUCUUCUAAAGCUAAAUACCGGCCAGAGACCGAUAGCGCACAAGUAGAGUGAUCGAAAGAUGAAAAGCACUUUGAAAAGAGGGUUAAAUAGCACGUGAAAUUGUUGAAAGGGAAGGAUUUAUGACCAGACUUUUUCUAGGAGAAUCAUCCGGUGUUCUCACCGGUGCACUUCUUUUAGUUUAGGCCAGCAUCGACUUUCGGCGGUGGAUAAAAGCUUUAGGAAUGUGGCUUCUCUCGGGAAGUGUUAUAGCCUAUUGUAUAAUACACUGCUGGGGGUCGAGGUACGCGCUUCUGCAAGGAUGCUGGCGUAAUGGUUAUCAAUCAC